AGUCUGUGAGCUGGGAGCCUGUUGGCAGGUCCCUCUUUUUAUUUUCGCUGAGAGCUUUCUUUUACUAAAUGCCACCAUCCUUACCUUUCAAGGUGUCUGCGUGCCUAAUUUUUCCUGGUUGUUAGACAAGAACCCGGAUUUUAGUUGAACUCUGGAGCAAAAAUCCUGCAUCAUUUGUAGGUAAUGUUUGUUUUCUUUGGUUGCUUUUAUGACCUUCUCUUUAUUCCUAGUAUUUGGGCAUUUCACAAAAACAUUUAUAAAUCUGAAUUAAAAAACAAACUGACCUUGCCAAGGACCCUACUGAUCCCUUUUCAUAUAAUUCUAUCUGCUAGGUCUUGUGCUGCCUUCUAAGUUAGUUCAUCAGUUCUAUACUUCAGUAUUUAAUUCUAUAUUCAGCCAUGUUAUCAAAUGUUUAUUUCAACCUUUGAGUUUCUCAUUUGUAAUAGUAUUUUUUCAUUUUUAUGUUUUUAAAAGAGUUCUUUUCAUAUUUUACUAUUUUUGUUUAGUAACUUUCAGUACUUGUUGCGUAGAUUUUAUUUCAUCUUUAUGUUUUUGAGAUGUUUGCAUAACACAUUUAAAGACAAUUACAUAUUGUUGUAUGAUUUCCAUUUCCUUGGUCAAGAAUUCUCCCAUUUGUUGCAUCUCUGAAGAGUUUCCCAAGGUGGGUUAAUCUUGAAUAUGGUAAACUUGCUGCCCUCAGUUUUUUAGUUUUAAUACUUUAUCAGUUGUUUCUUGUUCUUUUUUUUUCUGGGCAUAUUAUUACCUCAUUUGAAAAUAAUGACAAUUUUGGCCUUUCUCUUCGAGAUUUUGUAACUCAUUUUCUUUUCUUUUCACAUAGAAUUUGAUAAGGCCUCCAGUACUUUGUGAUAUAGUAGUUGUGGGGAUGGUCCUUCUUGUCUUACUGCUGAUCUCAAGUUUAUGUUUGUAGCAAAUUUUUGCUACAUGACCAUUACAAGUUUAAGAGGUUACCAAGAGUUUUUAUUACAAAUACCUUAAAUCUUAGCAAAGACUAUAAAAACUGAGAUAAACAUGUUUUUCUUCUAAAUAGUAAUCAUUUAGACAAAUCACAAAUGUGAUAUCAGAUUAGUGCAUCCUACACUGUAUGGAAACUAUAAAUUCAUGAUUUUCAAAAAUUGUAGGUAAAUAUUUAUUUUUCAAAAUAAUUUAUCCAUCUUGCUUUACCAAAAAAGGCAAGGUCUUGUUUUUCUUUCCCUAUACAGUAGUAAUGGCUCUUUGGUGUAAAAACUUUAUAGGACCUAAAGUAAAAAAGAAGAUAAAAACCAGUUUGUCUUUCAAAGUCUUAAAAUAUUUCAUUAACCUCGUAGUGCCUGAUCUCUGUCACCAAGCAAAUAGUCUGAACUAUUAUUUCCAAGCUCAAUUCAAACAGGUAAAGUUUUACUACAAUUAUAUCUGGCCAUCACUACAGUGUUUUCUCCAAUCACUUCCAAAGCCUACCCCUUUUCUUUAUCAUACUUCCACCUACAUUGCAUAAUACAGAGCUUAGCUAGUGAGGUACAAGUGAUAAGGAUUAUCUCCCCAGAGUCUCCGGGCCUUGGUAAUUCCUAGACCACAGCACCAUGCAUUAGGUUAUAGUCACAGGCCUCUAUAUAGUCUUCCACAUAUCCCAUUACAUUUUAAAUCCUAUGCAUACCCUUUAUAUCCUGCACUUAUCUGUCAAAAUUCUAAGGUAUAAGAUUUUUUUUUUACUUAUCCCUGCUGUUUAAUUUUGAAGAAAGAAAAAUAUAAAAGAAAAUUUUUUAAAAAGAGGCCUUCAUGGAUAUCAAAGAAUGCCAACAAUAAUGCUGAAGAAAGAAGUUAUUCUACAGCAAUGAGACACAAAGAAAAGAAUUUUGUAAACAUUAGCAUCUUGGUUACUGGAGAACUAUAACUUUUAUGUAGUCGUGCUUGGAAAACACUAAAAGGGAAAUCGAGUCUGUUUGACAAUAUUCUGUCUUCACUGUUGAUCACUUCAUAAUGUGUUGGAAUAUAAAGUUCUAUACAGUUAAUAUGAAGCUCUCUUUAGCAUUUAAAACAUGAUUUGCAUUUUCAUGAGGCAUUUUGGCUAAUUUUAUUGAUUUCCUUAUAUUUCAUAGUCCUUAGCCUUAUGAGAAUCUUAUGUUUCUGUGUGUUUUCUAUCAUGUAGCACAAUUUCUGACACACAAAACAUACAAUAAACUUGUGUUAAUUUUUCUAUCAAAGUCAGAAUUUAUUCAUAAGGAAUCUGAAGUAAGGUGUACUAAGCUUGUUUAUGGGUUAAGUGAUAUAGCCAAAUUCAAAACUUUACUUUUUAUGUCAGUCUAGAAAUAUCUCAGAUUAAAACAUAUCACUUCUUAGUUCCAAUUAGAUAAGGGAAAUCUUUUAUAAUAAUGCCAGGAUUGCUAUAAUCUGAUAGGAGACAACAAUUUCAUUUUGCUACAGGAAAAUUUGGAGGACAAAAAAAAAAAAAGAAAACAUAAGAUAGAGGAGAGAAAAUAGUCAGAUGAAGAAGCAAAAAACACAAACAAGGCAUUUAGAUUUGUUAGGAAGGAAUUCAAGUCAGUCAGUAAAGUGAUAACUUUUGAAUUAUCUGAGAAAAAUAUACUCAGAACAAAAUCAGGCACACUAAAGGUAUCCAUAAUCCACAUUAUUUACUAGGCUAAAGGUAAGUACAAACAAAUCUACAUGGACUAAUUGUAUCACAGAACAAAAAGGGUAGCAAAAUCCAGUAAUUCCAAUGGAGUAAUAAAGUUGCAGACAAAGGAAAAUUAACGUGUGCAUUGCUUGAGAUAUGACUAAAAUGUCAUUAAAAUAAAUUCUAAGUUAUGAAUAUUCAUUUGAAAAGUUACAAAGUACACACUGAUUUAUAUUUCAGAAGCAAGGAUAUAUGUUUCUAUAUAAUUUAGUCCUAAAUAUAGUUCAUUUCCUAUGCUAAUGCUUUUUUCCUUCUUCUUACCUUCUUAGGUCAACAACAAGAGGCCAGGACCUCCCAAGAAAAGCUUUACUAAUGUAAUAGCUUUGGCCAAGUCCACCCAAUAUAUUUUCCUCUCUGCAAAGAGAAACAAGCUAUUGUCUCAUCUUAGGUUUCAUCUUCUUCCAUGCCACUGUUAUUCAUGUUCAAAUCCUGGCUGUCCUUCAGGGUCCAAUUCAAAUGAUUAUCGCCAUUUUCUAUUAAUGUCAUUUCUUCCUAUUUUCUACCUUUUGUUAGCUAUGUUAAAGUGUUUCUUUACCAACAUCCCCCAUAUAUUGUGUAACACAGUGUCUAUGGCUUACUCAUUUUUGAAUCCUUAUCAUGACCUGACAUAAUGAAGAUUCUUAGUACAUAGUGAUACAUGUAAAUAUGAGUUAAUUAGUACAUGAUAGACUUGAUUUCCAGAAUGAUUUUGUAUAGUUGAAUUGUGUAGUAAGGGGACACAUGUGAAAUGAAGACUUUAGUCAGUAUCAAGAAGAUAUUUUGGGUGACUUCACAUAUCUGCCAAUGAUAAAUCUAGAAACAAUAGGUGCUUGGGUAGGUGAUUUCCUUUUGCCUUCUUUAUCAUUGUUUUCCCAGUAUUUCUUACAUUCAUCUAAUUUCAUUAGAUGCCCAUAUACUUUAUACUGGCUCUUCCUGUGAGGUUCGAACUGGUCCAGUCCAUUUGUUUUCAGAAUUGAUUCAUCUGGAGAGUCAUCUCCUAUCCUCCCAAACAAUGAUAUACCAGUCUGAGGACUGUGUAGAAGGGACUUCUCUUUCUACUCAGUAUGACCAAAAUAAUUCAAUUCUAGUUGUGGUGUGUGAUUUAUGAAUAUUUUGUCCUUUAGUUUGUGUGAGCCAAUUUUGUGCCAUAAGAAUUUUAGCCUCCUUUUCCACAAAAGAGUGAUUUAAUCAAACAAAAGUUGACAAUCAAUGUAGUACAUUUGUGUGACAGUGAUUAAACAUGGUGUUUUUCUCUUAGGUGUCUGAGUAGAUUUGGAAAUGCCCAUUCAGCCCUCAGAGCUCCUCUGCUUUAAGGGUGAUGGACUUCCUGUACCACUACGUAGUGCAUGAGUGCCAGCCACUGGUAUCUAGAACUGUGAUUAGUGAGGAAACACUAGGAGGAACAAACAACCCAACUCUUUUUAUCUAAUCUGUUGACUCCAAAGGGACCUUCUGCUUAUUCCAGUUAAAACUCAAGCUGCAAUUCAAAAUGAAAUCAGUAUCUUUUUUCUCUACUUUUCAGCAAAGCAAGAUGCUACCUUAUAAUUACCACGUAACAAUCAAUCGCAAACAUAGUGGCUUAAAGCAGCUCCUCUUUUAGCCUACAUAUCUGCAAACUGGCAGUCUGGACUGAGCUCAGCUGGAUGUUUUUUCUGAGCUGAUCAUGUAUGUAGGGUCUGCUGCUGGCUGGUUUAGACUGAUGGUGGAUGAGAAACCACAUGAAGAAGAGAGGCAUGAUGGUGGCAGAGUUCUGAAAGAGUCACACAGAAGGGCGUUGAGUUCGUGGCUUGAAAAUAGCAUCCUGUCACUUCUACCACAUUCUAUUUACCAGGCCAGCCCAGAUAAAGAUGUGAAGAAACAGACUCCAUCUCUUGAUGGGAGAAGUUGAAAAUCAAUGGAAAAUGGCAUGGAUAAGGAAAGGAGUGAUGAUUGUGGCCAUAUUUGUAAUGGCCAUAUUUGAUACCCUUUUCAGUUUUCCUAGCCACACUUCUCAUUGGCCAGGAAAAUUAAAUGCAUGUCAACACUGAAGAAAACAGAUCUUGGUUAAAAGCAAUGAUGUAGCUAAUAUCCCGUUCAGGUAAAAGAUUACUUAUAUAGUGUGAGACAGGCAUGAGGCAGAGAAGUGCUUACAGGUUGGUUUCUGCUUUGUUAGCAGAUUUACUUUUAGAUCAUAUACUACUUUGUUUUUACUGUUUUAUUGAGAAAAAAUAACAAAUAUUUCCAAAAUUUUGCAGCAUGCAACUCAGUGCUUCAGUUGGCAUUCAAUCAAAAUUUCCUUGAAAUAAAAAAAGACAAGAGAGAGACUUGGAAUUAUGACUCUUCUACUAGAUUAGCUCCUUCAUGUCAAAAUCUGUCAAGUUUAUGAUUUAUUCAGAUAGCACUUGUUUUUGGUGUAAUAACUAAACUGUUGCUUUAGAGUCUACUACAUUCUCCUCUAUUAUUUGGCAUUUUUCUCUUUAUUAUUUUGUUCAAGUAGGAUAUUGUGCUGAGUUGAACCAUGAAAUGAAUUGUAUUGAGCAACAUCAACAACAUAAAUAUUCUGGGGUGUCAUCUGCAUUUUCAUAUCUGGCUGCUCAAAUUCUUUUUACAGCUAUAGCUUUGAUAAUAAUGUAAUAGCAUAAUGUUUUUCAUUAGAUAUCAAAUCAUAGAAGACAACAAAGAUGUGUUAAGUUAGCAUAGUUUAAUAUAAGGAAACAACAGCAUCAGUAAAAGCAUUGAGCACUAAAUAUCUCUUCCAUUUCAGUUCUUUUACAGGAAGCUUUUGUUACGUGUUGUCAGCACAUUGCUGUGAUGCUCAAGUAUAGCUCUUUAAUGUGAAAACCUGGUAUUUGGGCAUGGCUUGAAGCAGGUGAGAGAGUAACCCAUGCAGAUAUUAGAGGAAAGGAACAAGAGUAGCUGGAAAGAUCCAGAGUUAGGAAGCUUCCUGGUGCCCUCCAGGAGUGGCAAGCUGGUCACUGUGGCAUGAGAAAAUUGAGUUAGGGAAAAAGAAGCAGAUUAGGUCAAAGAGGUGAAAUGGGAGGGAGGUCAUGUAGAUGUUGUAGGCUACUGUGAUGAGUUUGACUUUUACUCUGGAAGACAGGAAGACAACCAUAAAAUUUGGGCCAUUAGAGUGAAAUAAUUUGUCUUUAUUUUAAAAGGAUCACUUUGCCUCCUCUGUUGGAAUAGAAUGUGUAUGUACUGGAGAGUGGUGGUGGAUAGACAGCUAUAAUGGAAGCUGGGAGACAAAUUAGAAAGCAACUGUUUUCUCCCAAAUUCAUUCCCUGCCCUUCCUCUAAUUACAUCUAUAUCUUAGAGGUCUAAUCCUUAAAAAAUAUAUUUCCCAGAUUCCCUUGCUAAUUGGUUUCAAACUAAAUUUAGUCAAAAAGAAGCAUUGUCAUGAAGUUCAGGGCACCAAGAAGGGACAAGCUGGGGCAUUGCUCUCUCUCUCUGAUUGCUUUGGGUUGUGCCUGUGGCAACUGCCACAUGUGCCCCAUGGCCAGUCCCUGCUGGGCAGGCUACUGUGAUUGCCAUUUGUAUUGGGUGAUCUCAGCUUUUGGUUUCCCAUGAUACCAUCUCUAGGGGUAGCAGCUGGCUAUAAUAACUAAUGUCUGGAUUAUCCUAACUCUUCUGUUUGUUCUUUCAGGUAUUUAACAAUGUUGUGACUAAUUGGCUUCCAUUAUUUCCCUAGAGUAGGUUCUGUUAUUACCCUGGAAUAUGUUUGUAAUAGAGUGGGCUAUUACAAUCAUCUAGGAUAAAGAUAAUCGUGGCUUGGAAUAAGGUGGUAGCAAUGGAAGUGAUGAGAAGUCAUUAGAUGCAGAAUAUAUUUUAUAGAUGGAAUGUGAUAAAAUAAAAAAUAAACUGGACUCUGGUUUCCAGCAUAUAGUUCCAAAAGACUGAAAUUGAAAUUUGUGGAGUAAUAGGGUAUCUUUUGUAUGCUAAUGAGAAGAGUGGCGGUUGGGGGCCCCUAGAAAGCUUCAGCAUGAGGGCUAGUCACCAGAAAAACUAUGACAUGAUUAGAGGGCUAGAACUUUCAGCCUCACUCCUUGACCUCUGAGGAGAGAAGACAGGCUAGAGAUUGAGUUCAAUCACCAAUGGCCAAUGAUUUAAUCAAUAUCAUGCCUACAUAACGCAGUCUCCAUAGAAACCCCUAAACCGUGGAUUUCAGAGAGCUUCUGGGUUGGCCAACAUAUCAACAGAGGAGCUGUGAGGUGGGCAAGCCUGAAGAGGGCUUGGAAGGUCCUGUAUCUGCCCCCUUUUCUUUGCUUUAUGCUUCUCUUCCAUGGGCUGUUCCUAAGUUGUAUCUUUUAUAUAGUCAAAAAGAGUUUUGAUAUAGGUUGUAUGAGUGUUAUAAGAUAAAUAAAAGUCAAAAAUGACUCUAGUGUUUUUCCUGAGAAAUUGAAAAUGGCAUAAUUAUUAUUAACUAAGAUGAAAAUAAUGUAAAUAAAGCAAGUCUAUGCUGGGAGAGAUUAGGGGUUCAGUUUUGUACAUGCUGUGUUUAAGAUGCCCAUUAACUACCUAAUUGGAACGUUUAAAUGAUCAGUUGUGUAUAUAUGCAUCUGGAGUCAGAAGUCCAAACUAGAGAUAUAAAUUUAGGAAUCAACAGCUUUUAUUGUUGUCUAUUCAAAGUUAUGAGCCUAGAUGAGAUCAUUCCAGAAAGUGAACAUAUAUAAAAGAGAGAUUACCAAAAGUGAAUGAGGACUCCAUUUACUAUACCUUCAAUUAUUUAAAAUCUUAUAAAUUGGUGCUGUCCAAUAGAACUUCCUGCAGAGACAGAAAUGUUCUAUAUUUGUACUAUCUGAAAUAGUAGCUGUAUUAGUUUUCUAUUUCUACCACAACAAAUUGUCUCAACUAUAGUGGCUUAAACAACAGUAAUUUAUUAUCUUGUAGUUCUGUAGAUCAGAAAUGCACCAUGGUGUCACUGGGCUAAAACCAAGGUGCCAGCAUGGUUGCAUUCCUUUUUGGAGGCUCUGGUGGAGAAUCUGUUUCUUUGACUGAUCUAACUUCUAGAGCCCAUUUGCAUUCCGUGGCUUGUGGCUCCCUACCUGCAUCUUCAAAGCUAGCAAGGCAUGUUGAGUUCUCACAGCUCAUUACCCUGAUCUUUUCUUCUGUCUUCCUCCUCCACUUUAAGUAUCCUUGUGAUUAGAUUGGAACCCUUGUGGAUAAUCCAGGAUAAUCUUCCCAUCUCAAGGCCCUUAACCUUAAUCACAUGUAUAAAGUCCCUUUUGUCAUGUAAAGUAACAUAUCCAUAGGUUCCAGGAUUAGAAUGCAUACAUUUUUGGGAGGCCAUUACUUUGCCUACCAGCAUGACCACUAUCACCAUAUGGUGAUUGGACAUUUGAAACAUGGCUAGUGGAAUUGAGAAACAACAUUAUUUUAUUUUAACUAAUUUAAAUGGAAAUGGAAAUGCAUAUAGAUAAUGGCUACCUUAUUGGACAGCACACAUCUAGAAGAAUAGGAGAGUAAAUAGACUAGGGACAUGUGGUAUGAUCACAGACCAACAUUAAGAGCCUAUGUAUGAUUUGUAGUUAUGAAUUUUAAGUAAGACUUUAGCAUAGUUGUAUUUCUACAGCCAUGUUAACUACUGAUGGCACUCUAUAUUAAUCCCUUCUCACACUGCUAUAAGGACAUACUUGAGACUGGGUAAUUUAUUUUAAAAAAGAGGUUUAAUGGACUCAGUUUCAUAUGGCUGGGGAGACCUCACAAUCAUGGUGUAAGGCGAAGAAGGAGUAAAGGCACAUCUUACAUGGCAGCAGGCAAGAGAGCAUGUGAGGGGGAAUGGCCUUUUAUAAAACUAUCAGAUCUCAUGAGAACUCACUCACUAUGACAAGAACACCAUGGAGGUAACCACCUUCAUGAUUCAAUUACCUCCCACCAGGUCCCUCCUAUGACAUGUGGGGAUCAUGAAAACUACAAUCCACGAUGAGAUUUGGGUGGGGACACAGCCAAACCAUAUCACACCCAUAAAAUUGCCUUGAAGAUACAUUAUCAAAAAACGAUAAUUAUAAACCAAGGGAGAUAAAGGUUUUGAAUUUAAGAAACAGUGAUGAGCAAAGAGACCAGAAAAAUUUCUCUUAACUCUAAAUAAUUAUUGAGGCUACCACUCCAAAAAUUAAUAUAAUUUUUUUUUUAGAUGAAGUCUCACACUGUCACCUGGGCUGGAGUGCAGUGGCGCAAUCUCGGCUCACUGCAACCUCUGCCUCCUGGGUUCAAGCAAUUCUCCUGCCUCAGCCUCCCAAGUAGCUGGGAUUACAGGCACCCGCCACUACACCCAGCUAAUUUGUUGUAUUUUUAGUAGAGAUGGGGUUUCACUAUGUUGGCCAGGCUGGUCUCAACUCCUGAUCUCAGGUGAUCCCCCCCACCUCAGCCUCCCAAAGUGCUAGGAUUACAGGUGUGAGCCACUGCGCCCAGCCCAAAAUAUCUUAAGUAGAUGGGGUUGUGCCAUAUUGGCCAGUCUGGUCUUGAACUCCUGACCUUGUGAUCCACCUGCCUCGGCCUCCCAAAGUGCUGGGAUUACAGGCAUGAGCCACUGUGCCUGGCCAUAUAAUUUUUAAAAGAAGAUUCAUUAAACAAAGGAUCCACAAUAUAAUAAAAAAUUCCAAACUAUCAAAAGCCAAAUGAUUAAUUCUUGACACUUAGGAAAUAAAUGGAUUGAUUAUUUUGUUCCGAAUUUCAGAACAACCAAUAAAAUAAGAGAAAUAAGAUACAGAAUUUGCAAAUCAUUAGAAAGAAGUAACAAAGUUAUAAACAGGGAAGUAUUUUUAAAUGACACUUGAAAACCCAAACAAAAGAAGACAUAACACACGAUGGCAGCAAAAAGUUUAAACAUAUUAUGAUUACAAUUAUGAUUAGAUAAGUUCCCCUGUCAAAGACAAAGAACAGUAAUUAGUUGUUUAUAAGAACUACACUUAAAUCAAAUGACACACAAAGGUAAAAAUUGAACAAGGCAAUGAGAAGCAAAACAAUACCCAGAAAUAGAUUUCAGCAGAAGUGGGAGUCAUUCUUUCCAGUAUAGGUUUGAAUUCACAAUACCUGCAGGGCCUAAAAAAGCUCAAAUUAAAAUUUAAUGUAAAGUGGUCUCCAAUUAGUAGUUUCCCAAGAUGCCUUGCAGAAGAGGCAAUACAAAUUCAUUCUUUUUUUCUUUUCGCCACAAGGUGGGUGUCAUUGUGACUGGCUGCUACCUCCCCAUGAGUCUUCUAAAAUAAAACCUGCAAAUUCACAUCUUCCCCAUGCUUCCAGAGAAUGCAUAUUCUUCCUUUGAAAAAAGAAAACCAGGUAGUCGUACAGUGUCCAGAAGGCAAAAGGACAAGUAUGCACUGCCCUACUUACCUACUUUCCACACUGCUGCACAGGAAAAUCUGACAGAGGACAAUAACAAACAUCUCACCAGCUCAUGCGUUCUUUUUUGAUCCUAAUUCCGAGAGACUCACCAAAGACAUGAAGAGAAAACAAACAAUACUUUUCUUGGAAAUAUUGUAAUUGCUGGUACAUUUGUUGUUCUGGCAUAAAGUAGAAAUUGUCAGUUACCAGAACAAUACUCAGUGAACUUAUGAAUAUAUGGUAAAUAUUAAACACAUCCCACUUGGAUGAGAAGAUAUGUGAGUCGAUGAGUAUAGCUAAGUCUAAAGUUAGAUGUGUUCCAUAAACAUAGUGUUUAUGGAGUUGGUGCAUAUUCACUUCUCAGUAAGUUACACUUUCUUAAUUUCUUUUUGGUGCUAGGUGAUAUUCUGCUAAGUACACAUAAGUAUAGUAAUAUUGGUUAGUAAACUAGUAAAAUGCUCCCCUAGCUAUUAGUAAAUAGCUUCUGCCUUGUGUCUCCAAAAUAUCUCUACCAUUAUCCUGAUCUUGAUUGCUAUUUUAUAUUAAAAGAAGACAUGUGAAUGUAUAUGAACAUUUAAAAAAAUUGUUAUUUCUUAUUUACCUUUAAAAAUACAGUGUGCUGUACUAGUACUACUACUAAUAAAUAGCAUCAUUGACUCAUAGAUCACUUACUAUCAGCCAGGCAGUCCUAAGUAUUCCACUUACAUUAACUCACUUAAUGCAUGCAACAAUGCUAUGAGGCACUAUUUUUAUCAUUUGCAUAUUUACAUAUAAGGAAACAGAGACACUAAUAUUAAGUAGUAAGAGACAUAAAUGGGAGUCGAAGUUCCAUAGUCUAUUAAUAGUUUUGGAGUUCAGGAUAGUCUCUAUUACUCUAACCUACCUCAUUAAGCAGCAUCCUUGACUAUUCUAGGUAAAGAGUAUUGUAUUCUUUUCUAAGAUAAAAACAUGACUUGCUACUAUAUUUGUUUGGAUUCAGCUUUACUGGAACACAGCUUAGCUUUGACAUUUACAGACAUGGGUUAGGUUUCAUUUUGUUGCAAGAUAAAAGGCAAUCUGAUAUUUAGUUUACCUGCAAAAGGCAGUUAGGAAGCCCUAGAGGAACCUAAUUAAAAUGCAGCACAUUUCCAAGGCACCAUAUCUUGCUGUGUUGCCAUAGAAACAACGAGGAUUUCUGGUCACUGACCUUCCAGGGAAUCUGAGGAUGUAUUUUCAUAAGGUUCAUAAGAGAAGCCAUCCUAGUAUGUUAACCUAUAGUUGCAGAUCAACUAUACGUUAUGGAAAUUCCCUAUGCAAUUCUAGCCAAUUUUAAAACCAAAUUAUACUAGCAAAACUUACUAGAGGCUCAAACUAAGGGCUCUUUGAAGGAAUGUGGUUUAACUGCUUCCAAUAUAAGAUUUCAAAUAAUUAAGGAUACUGUAGUAGCAGCAAAAACAUUAAAGAAAAGCUUAGGUAAUUACACAAAGAACAUUGGAACUAAAAUCAUAUUUAGGAAUAGUUUCAAUGUUAUAUCUAUUCUAUUGCAUUUUGGGUUCUUCAAUUCUAGGCUUACUCAAAGGAUAAAACGAACAUUACUGCAUCAAUCAACUACACCUAGAAAAUCAAACUUUAUUAUACAAUAUUAAGUUGCUAAUAUUAUUUAUACCUAUAGAUUCUUAAUUCAUGCCCUUUACUAUCUAUUUAUAAAUUCAUUCAUUCCAUUACUAAAUAUGUAUAAUUGACAAUCCCAGUUAUACCUUAAUUUAUAUUUUUUUGUCUAUUUGACAUAAGCCAAGUACCCAUGCCAUGAUUCAACACAGAAAAUUACAAAGCCCACCUUACUGUAGACUGCUGCUCUUAUUGCAUCAACAUUCGUAUCUUCCACGGAAAAUAAUUAACUUAGUUCUAUAAUCAGGAUAUGCCCGGUUUAUUUACAAGGAAAUACCUAUCAGGUGCUAAUUUCUCUUAGAAUUAGAAAUCUUGGCCAGGCAUGGUGGCUCACACCUGUAAUCCCAGCACUUUGGGAGGCCGAGGUAGGUGGAUUACCUGAGGUCAGGAGUUUGAGACCAGCCUGGCCAACGUGGUGAACCCUGUCUCUACUAAAAAUACAAAAAUUAGUCGGGCUAAGGUGGUGUGUUCCUGUAAUCCCACCUACUCGAGAGGCUGAGGCAGGAGAAUCGCUUGAACCUGGGAGGCGGAGGUUGCAGUGAACUGAGAUUGUGCCAUUGCACUCCAGCCUAGGUGGCAAGAGCAAGACUCCAUCUCAAAAAAAAAAAAAAAGAAAUCUCUCUAUAUGUAUCUAUAGAUAUAGAUAUGUUUAUAGAUAUAUAGAUAUACAGAGACAUAUAUAUAGAGAUGAGAGAUAUGUGUACACAUAUAUAUAGAUACACAUUUUGUGUGUGUUUGUGUGUGUGUGUGUGUGUAUAUGUUUGUCUUCAGGCACCUGAAGAAAAACAGAUGUACUAGCAAAACUUACUAAAGGCUCAAACUCUAGUAAAUUUUCUUUAGGUACCUGAAGAAAAACAAAUAUCUAAUUAUUAUACCUAGAAAAGUGGGGCUAUCACCCCAUUUCCUAGACUUCUGGAAGUUUUCUUAAAUAGCUGUGUGUCCUCACUCUGACACUAUGUGGCCAAGGGGCUGAGAGCACAGACUGUGGUGCUGUAAUGUUGGGCCUCUUGGCUCUGCCGCUUACUAGCUGUGUGGCCGUGGGAAAGUUAUCUAGCCUGUGGGUGCCUCCUUUGGCUUAUGUGUAAAAUUAGAAUCAUAAUGGAACCUAUUAAGGUUGUUUUGAGAAUUAAAUGACUUAAUAUUGAUAAAUCACUUACAUCUAUAUUUGACACAUAAUAAUUUGUCUAAAGUAUAGCCAAUAACAGGGACAGAGCUCAUAUGAAAAUGUCAGCCCUGUUGCACUCUUGCCCUGCCCAAGACAGAAAGAACAAAGUGGGAUGAACACAUUUCAGAUGAAACACAGAGUUCCAUUAGUGUGUGGACAGAGGCAGUCUGUCAGGUUUACAGAUUUGAAAAGAAAAUGUGUUUUCUUCCUCAGUAUGGAUUUAGACAGCACUGUCUUUGAGAAUUAAUAGUUGUCUUUGAGAUGUGUGAAUGCAUGAGUGUGUUUGUUUUAAUCUAGUAGUGAAAAGGAAACGCUGUUUUUCUUUCUAUACACUCACUCACAACACUCAAUAUUUCCGGAACACAAUAUUUCCGGUUCAUUUCUGACACCACAUGUGUGUGUGGGGUGUGUUUUCUACACCAAGCAAUUCUCCCAUUCUUUGUGGCUACCAACUGGGUGUCCCGUAAUUCAAAUCGGACACUAUCUACCUGGAGUUAGCAUUGACCCACAGGUUAAGGACUCAGUUUUACAAGAUUUUUCCCCUUCCCACUGAAGAUGACAAUCACAAGCAAUGAGUCCUCAUGUUACUCAUAGCUUCUGUUUGACUUGUCUACAAAUCCAAGGUCUCCACGGCCCUCUCCUCAGGUUUGAUAAUUUGCUAGUGUGAUUCACAGACUUCAGGAAAACAGUUUGCUUACUAGAUUACCAGUUUGUUAUAAAAGGAUACAACUCAGGAACAGCCAGAUGGAAGAGAUGCACAGGGAAAGGUAUGGGGGAGGCGUGGGGAGCUUGCAUGCCUUCUCUGGACACACCACAAUUCCCAGCACCUCUGCAUGUUCACCUAUUUCAAAGCACUCUGAAUCCUGUCUUUUAGGGAUUUUUAUGGAGUCUUCAUCAUGGAAGCAUUGUUGCUUAUUAACUCAAUCUCCAGCUCCUCUUCUCUCCCGUCCCCAGAAGAUGUGAAUGGGGCCAAAAGCUUCAAGCUUCUUAUCAUGGCUUGACCUUUCUGGUGACCAGCCCCCAUCCAGGAACCCAGCAAGAGUCACUUCAUUAGAAGAGAAGAUGCUACUCUCACCCAGGGACUAAGGAGCUCUGUCAGAAAGCAGAGUCAAAGACCAAAUAUUAGAACAAAAGAUGACCCUAGCACCCCUACUACUCAGGAAAUUACAAGGGUUUUAGGAGCUCUUUGUAAGAACUGGAGGCAGAAACCAAAUACAUAUUUUCAUAUAUGUAUAUAUUUAUUAUGUCACAAAUAGCUACAUACUGGAUAAGCCAGAAAGAUGAGGAAACAUGUUUGCAUCUCACACUAGUGCAGAGAUUCUGAAAAAGACCCCACUUGGAAUACCAAACCACACAUUAGAUUGUUCUGUUCCCAAUUGUGUGCCAAAGUGCACUCUGAACUGUUUUGGUAAAGCCGACCGUGGAGUCAUAUGAGGCUGAAUAACUUGGGAGAAUGUAAGUCUGCAAAAUAAACCUAGGACUGGAUUGAUCCUCAGGCCACUUGGCAGGUGAAUGUCUCGGGAGUGAAUAUGAGACAAGCUUCCUGAAAAGGCUUAUAUGACUUAAAGAACUUUUUGUUUAAGUGUUUGGUCCCAAAUAAACUAUUAAGAUAUAUAAAGUAAUUCACUGCUCAAAAAUUACCGUCAGAUAAAUAUUAAGGGAAGAAACACUUUAAAGGAGAAUUUGUAUCCACAUAAAUCCUUAAAUUCAUGGUCACAACUUUCCUAAUCUCAAAUUGUUCUAGGUCACUGCUAUCAGUCUAGUUCUGUCCUCUAUUUCUUAAUUUAAUACCAAUACUUUUAAAUUUUUAAAAUAUGCUGCUUUAGGUAGAUUUAAAAUAUAUCCUAACCGCCACUUUCUAACCUUCCUGAAAUAUACUGUUCAAUAACAAAUCCUUUCCUUGCUUAAACAUAACUUAAAUAAAACAAGAAACUUACCAUUUCUCUCUAGUGUAAGAUGACACAUGCAGCUUAGCACUCUGUAGUAGUCUCUCUUCAAUUAGGUAAAAAAGGAAGUUUCUAUGGUAACCAUCCUUAUAGUCACUCAUUCCUCCUUCCUUCCUCACCAGCGCCCAAUAUAUAUCACAUUACUCAUGAAUACAUAUAAACUGCUAGCAUGUCUAGAAUAUUCUGUCUUGAAAUUAUACUUUCUACUAGUGACUUUUAGAAAUGACUAUGCCCCAGAAUAAUUAAAAAGAGAAACCAAAUAAUUUUUAAAUUAAUUUAUACAGAGUUUUUCACCAUCAAGUUUAUUUUCAGCACCCAUGGGGAGUUAAUAGAUCUUCCCUGAAAGAGAAAAACCUUUCCUAAGGAAAAAUCCUAGAAUUCAUAUAUUUGGCAACAUUUAAAGGAGGCCAUGAAAUUUUUAUCAGUCUAGAGAAUUGAUCUCCUUUAAGGUGACUCUGGUAGUUCCAACGAUGUUUAAAGGCAUUUCCUGUAAAAAAAAAAAAAAAAAGAGAGCGAGAGAAAAAGAGAGAGAGAGAGAGAGAAUUUCUGAUGAUUAAAAAAAAAAAGUGAGGAAUGCUGAGUUAAACAAAGUUAACCACAUUCUCUCAGAGCCUUGAAUGUGCUAAUAUGUGCUAAUGUGUCUUAUGGCUCUCUAAGGAGGGUGUAGUCAAAAUCAUCUUCUACACUGCUUAGUUCCCGGGAACCCACUUUUUUUUUUUUUUUAUUCAUGGUCGAAUAUUAUUUAUUGUCAGAAAGGUACAGCAUUCACACCAAUAUCAGACAAAAUAGAUUUUAACUAAAAAAUUAUUUCGAGACAAAAAUAACAAUAUAUGUUAAUAAAAGGCUCAAUUAAAAAUGUAUAACAAUUAUAAACACAUACACAUCAAACAACAGUUCCCCAAAAUACGUAAAGCAAACAUUGACAGGAUUGAAGGGAGAAAUAGACCACUCUACAAUAGUAGUUGGGGUCUUCAACACCCCACUUUCAAUAAUUAAUCACAGCCACUUAAGGAACCAGUGCAUACCAAAACACACUUCUGGCAGUGUUGCUUCAGGGAAUUCCGAGUGUAGGGUUAAUGUUCCAUUUUCUCUACCUCUUCUAAAAUUCCUCCUUCUUCAAAUGGCUAUUAAUAACUUUAUAUUUUUGUCCUUUGUGUCAGUUCUUAAUUCAUGUUGCUUAUAAGCAUGAUUUUUAUUAUUAAAGUGAGAUGGGAUAAAAAUAAAAUAUUUUUGCAAUGAGAUAACGUUUUAUUUUAAUUCUCACCAUUUAUAUACAAACACAAGUGAAUAAAACACAUCGCAAAA